AGCCGCGGUAAUACGGAGGGCGCGAGCGUUACCCGGAUUUACUGGGCGUAAAGGGCGUGUAGGCGGCCUGGGGCGUCCCAUGUGAAAGGCCACGGCUCAACCGUGGAGGAGCGUGGGAUACGCUCAGGCUAGAGGGUGGGAGAGGGUGGUGGAAUUCCCGGAGUAGCGGUGAAAUGCGCAGAUACCGGGAGGAACGCCGAUGGCGAAGGCAGCCACCUGGUCCACUUCUGACGCUGAGGCGCGAAAGCGUGGGGAGCAAAC
rnacentral:rRNA from 1 species